GUGCUCGCUUUGGAAGCAUAUAUACUAAAACUGGAACCACACAGAGAAGAUUAGAAUGGCUCCUGUUUAAGAUUGGAAAAAAAAUUAUGAAGUGUUCUAUAUUUAA